AGAGUUUGAUCAUGGCUCAGAACGUACGCUGGCGGCACGCCUAACACAUGCAAGUCGAACGAAGUAGCAAUACUUAGUGGCAGACGGGUGAGUAACAUGUAGGUAUCUACCCUUUGGCCUGGAAUAACACGAGGAAACUUGUGCUAAUACCGGAUAAGUCUUUACGGAGAAAGCUUUAUGCACCAUUGGAUGAGCCUGCACUUGAUUAGUUUGUUGGUGGGGUAAUGGCCUACCAAGACUGUGAUCAAUAGCUGAUUUGAGAGGAUGAUCAGCCACAUUGGGACUGAGACACGGCCCAAACUCCUACGGGAGGCAGCAGUGGGGAAUCUUGCACAAUGGAGGAAACUCUGAUGCAGCGAUGCCGCGUGAGUGAAGAAGGCCUUUGGGUUGUAAAGCUCUUUCGUCGGGGAAGAAAAUGACUGUACCCGAAUAAGAAGGUCCGGCUAACUUCGUGCCAGCAGCCGCGGUAAUACGAAGGGACCUAGCGUAGUUCGGAAUUACUGGGCUUAAAGAGUUCGUAGGUGGUUGAAAAAGUUAGUGGUGAAAUCCCAGAGCUUAACUCUGGAACUGCCAUUAAAACUUUUCAGCUAGAGUAUGAUAGAGGAAAGCAGAAUUUCUAGUGUAGAGGUGAAAUUCGUAGAUAUUAGAAAGAAUACCAAUUGCGAAGGCAGCUUUCUGGAUCAUUACUGACACUGAGGAACGAAAGCAUGGGUAGCGAAGAGGAUUAGAUACCCUCGUAGUCCAUGCCGUAAACGAUGUGUGUUAGACGUUGGAAAUUUUAUUUUCAGUGUCGCAGCGAAAGCGAUAAACACACCGCCUGGGGAGUACGACCGCAAGGUUAAAACUCAAAUGAAUUGACGGGGACCCGCACAAGUAGUGGAGCAUGUGGUUUAAUUCGAAGAUACGCGCAGAACCUUACCAACACUUGACAUGUUCGUCGCGACUCUAAGAGAUUAGAGUUUUCGGUUCGGCCGGACGAAACACAGGUGCUGCAUGGCUGUCGUCAGCUCGUGUCGUGAGAUGUUGGGUUAAGUCCCGCAACGAGCGCAACCCUCACUUUUAGUUGCCAUCAUUAAGUUGGGCACUCUGAAAGAACUGCCAGUGAUAAGCUGGAGGAAGGUGGGGAUGACGUCAAGUCCUCAUGGCCCUUACGUGUUGGGCUACACACGUGCUACAAUGGUAUCUACAACAGGAAGCAAGACUGCGAGGUCAAGCAAAUCCUUAAAAGAUACCUCAGUUCGGAUUGCACUCUGCAACUCGAGUGCAUGAAGCUGGAAUUACUAGUAAUCGUGGAUCAGCGUGCCACGGUGAAUGCGUUCCCGGGUCUUGUACACACCGCCCGUCACACCAUGGGAGUUGGUUCUACCUUAAGGCAAGGUUUAAAACCCUUGACCACGGUAUAGUCAGCGACUGGGGUGAAGUCGUAACAAGGUAGCCGUAGGGGAACCUGCGGCUG
rnacentral:rRNA from 1 species